GAUCAGUGUUUAGAACAGUGCCCCAUGCA
rnacentral:piRNA from 1 species